AUUGAACGCUGGCGGCAUGCUUUACACAUGCAAGUCGAACGGUAACAGGCCUUCGGGCGCUGACGAGUGGCGAACGGGUGAGUAACGCAUCGGAACGUGCCCAGUCGUGGGGGAUAACGCAGCGAAAGCUGUGCUAAUACCGCAUACGAUCUCUGGAUGAAAGCGGGGGACCCUCGGGCCUCGCGCGAUUGGAGCGGCCGAUGUCAGAUUAGCUAGUUGGUGGGGUAAAGGCCCACCAAGGCGACGAUCUGUAGCUGGUCUGAGAGGACGACCAGCCACACUGGGACUGAGACACGGCCCAGACUCCUACGGGAGGCAGCAGUGGGGAAUUUUGGACAAUGGGCGCAAGCCUGAUCCAGCAAUGCCGCGUGCAGGAAGAAGGCCUUCGGGUUGUAAACUGCUUUUGUACGGAACGAAAAGGUCCGGGUUAAUACCCUGGGCUCAUGACGGUACCGUAAGAAUAAGCACCGGCUAACUACGUG
rnacentral:rRNA from 1 species